GGGGACUAAUCAGGGCCUUGAAUGCCAUGUAGACUCUCCUUCUGUUAUAUGAGAUUCUGUGUGUUUUCUUCAGUCUUAGUCUUAUUAACUUAUAUUCGUUUACUCAAACAAAUUAUAAAUAAAUGAUUGCUGGCACCUCUAGUUUAUGUAUGAUUAUAUUAUGUGAAUGGAGAAGACCUUAUUUUUUUCUCCCUUCUUCUCAACCCCCUCUACCUUCUAUGUUCUUAGGGAUGAAUUGGCUUGGGUACGGCUUGUAUCCAACACUAGCCCACUCAUCUGUGUUUAAAGGCUGGGAUUAACGUUGGACCAAAAUGGUGACUUCUCUUGCAACUUCAUGGGUAAAGGGAGGAGGAAGUGAUCUCAGAAAUGUCUUACAUCUUUAAAGCAGCAAGUCUGUCCCCUUCGUGCUCAUUGAGAAUAUCUGAUACCUUCAUGUUUGGACUCAUCCAGCCCCCAUCUCCUCAGUCUAUCUCAGAUCUGACAGUGGAGGCUGCUUUGUCCAGGACCAACCUUUUCUCUUGCCUCAUUUCUGCUAUGCCAGCUGAUGAAGAGCAUGCUAUGCCCUCAGCUUCUUGGACUUCACCCUGGCCCUGGAAGGUUGGUGUUAUUGUUAUUAGUGGGGAUGGGACAGGUGUCUGACAUUAUACAAGCUGCUCCCAGUUUCAAAUAAUACAUUUUGAAUGAUGGGUUAUCGGCCUCAGGGAAGAUAUUUUCAGAUGAGGGAUAGCUUCGCCCCACCUGGGCAGGCUCUCACUGCAGUUUUCAUAAGGUCAGCCUUGCCCAGGUUAAUAUGGCUUUCAAAAUAAUAAAGGGGAAGGAAGAAUCAGAAUCUGUCUGCUUUCAUUAAGUUUCACCCUUGCCUGCAUAUUAGAAUAUGUAUAACUCAGCAUCAUGUAAAAGGAUGGCUGGCCUCCAGGUCAAGCUUGGUACCAAGGAGAAGACUGGGGCUCCUCAUUAAUGGUCCAGGAAGCAAAUGGGGUCAACAUCAUUAAUACCAGAGCAUCCCUAAUUCAUCUUCAGAUGAUUGAAGUACUGAGGGAGGGACAGUGGGGGAAGCCCUGAACAUGUCAUUAGGAUCAGAGCUGUUCAAGCUUCUUUUUCUUCUAUGUAACCUCUGAAAGAAGGGGCUCCCAGCUUAAACCACUGUUGACCUACUGCAAAAGCUUCUUUCUGUCUUUGCAUCUGAGCAUCACUGUGGGAAGCCUCCUCCAAGUAAAAACAGGAAAAAAAAAGGGGGGGGAAUCUUGCACAGAUGGCUCUGCAGUCCUCUUGAUAGCAGUAUCUUCAUCUUAUAUGGAAUUAUUGGAAAGCAGUUUGAACAGGAUUUGGAGUUCAAGGCUGAGGGAGGAGAGAAGCCCGGGGGUUCAAACAUGAUGGGGGCUCCUAUCUGAUUUGCCGUUGUUGUUCCAGAGUUCUGUUUCUGGGCCACAGAGUAGCUCCCAGGGUAUGUGUGGGCUUUAUGCAAAAAUAAUAAAGUCAACAGCCAGCCUUCCUCCUUCAGAAGGAGUUAUUUCUUGAGUGUUUUUUAUGAGCUGCCCUAGGAGGAGAGCACUGAUGGAUGGAGACGUCUAUUUCAAAGGUUUGUUUAGUUUUUCAGGGAGAAGUGAUAUUUUGGUGACUCAUCCUAACAACAGUUGUAGGGGGAAAUCUGCUAAAGGUUAAGAGCAUUUAAACAUCAGGAAGAUGAAACAGUUAAAUGACAGAGUAUAGCUUACCAAGCCCCAUGCUGGAUGCAAGGGCAACAGCUCUCAGCCU
rnacentral:lncRNA from 1 species